UGGACAUUGCUCCUCGUCUGACAUCUUUUCUUGAGAAAGAUGAAUCUUUUCUUACUCCUUGGAGUUGGAAUUCCAAUUCUUCUUCAAGUUCUUUAAACCAACAAGGAAGAAAAAGCCACCAUCAAUUUCAACCUGGGUCGUUUUUCGUUAGAGAGUAUCCAGAGUAUUUUGGGAGUCAUAAUUAUUAUCCGGUACCUAAUCAAUCUGAUUCGAAAAAGCCUAAUCCAUCUGAUUCGAAAAAGCCUAAUCCAUAAGGUUUGUUGACUGCGUUGACUAGAAGAGGUCUUAAUAGCGUGACAGUGAGAGAGCAAGGAAUGAAACAUGGAGAGAGUAAUUAAUUCUGAUAAUUCUUUAUAGUUAGUAUUGGAGGUAGUUUAGUUUAAUUUAUUCUUGUUUGUUGGAACUUGGAAUUAAAUAUGGGUCUGGAUUCUGAUUUUUCUGCAUCGUUUGGAAUAUUUUAGUAAAAUAUUUAGAUACAUUGACAUAAAAGUACAUUCUCUUAUUUCUGCAAAUUUUCUAAUUUUUCUUAUUUAUCUUACUCUUUCCAUUUGAGGAUAAGAAAAACUAUUAACAGAAUAUCUUUACAUGAUACAGUUUCUGUUUGAUAAGAAAAAAAUUAUCAAAACUGUAUGGUUUGCUUAGCAAGAAGUUGGUGUGUGAAAGCUUAAACCAAUCAAUUCUCAACCAUUGCUUUAUUUAUUUUAAAGCUAAUUAUUUCUACAGAUUAAUGUGUAUUUCAAGUUGUUUAUUUUCACUUUUCUGUUAUAAUUAGAUUAAUCUGAAAUUUGUUGAGAACUGAUAAUAUGGGUUAGAUCUUGGAUAUUCUAAAAUUUAGUGUUAAAAGAAAAAUCUUUAACCAAAAUAUAGAUUUAUUUUGUUUCUCAUUUAUGCUAGUUGAAAAUUUAAUAUUAAUUUUAAUGAGCAAUAAUGUUUGAGACACACAAAAAAAA